GCGGAAGUGGCGGAAUUGGCAGACGCGCUAGCCUCAGGAGCUAGUGGCCGCAAGGCCAUCGGGGUUCGAGUCCCCGCUUCCGCA
rfam:Acidobacteria bacterium RIFCSPLOWO2_02_FTLL_67_21 rifcsplowo2_02_scaffold_1408, whole genome shotgun sequence.